GCGCUCGUAGCUCAGCUGGAUAGAGUACCUGGCUACGAACCAGGCGGUCAGAGGUUCGAAUCCUCUCGAGUGCGCCA
rnacentral:tRNA from 1 species